UUAAUAACUGUGAAGAGGGCUAGUAAGCGCUAACACGACGGUACAGAGAGCAAGUGAUGAUGAGAAGCUUGCCCGUACGGUAGAACUGAAUGGACCUCAGAGUUGCAAGACGAAACCGGUUAGAAAUUACCAGGAGUAAUCUGCGCCGGAAAUGCCACCGUUAGAAAGGCAAAGGAUAUCGUCUAUUAUGUAGACCGUAUCUGAAAAGAGUGAAGCUGGCUCAACGUUCCCGUUGCAUCAUGACGGGAUUUUUUAUUAAUCUGCGUCAGCUUAACCGGGGUGGCACCACGGGCUUAAUGCGUUCGUCCCCACA
rnacentral:ncRNA from 1 species